rnacentral:rRNA from 1 species
GAUGAACGCUGGCGGCGUGCCUAAUACAUGCAAGUCGAGCGAACGGACGAGAAGCUUGCUUUUCUGAUGUUAGCGGCGGACGGGUGAGUAACACGUGGAUAACCUACCUAUAAGACUGGGAUAACUUCGGGAAACCGGAGCUAAUACCGGAUAAUAUUUUGAACCGCAUGGUUCAAAAGUGAAAGACGGUCUUGCUGUCACUUAUAGAUGGAUCCGCGCUGCAUUAGCUAGUUGGUAAGGUAACGGCUUACCAAGGCAACGAUGCAUAGCCGACCUGAGAGGGUGAUCGGCCACACUGGAACUGAGACACGGUCCAGACUCCUACGGGAGGCAGCAGUAGGGAAUCUUCCGCAAUGGGCGAAAGCCUGACGGAGCAACGCCGCGUGAGUGAUGAAGGUCUUCGGAUCGUAAAACUCUGUUAUUAGGGAAGAACAUAUGUGUAAGUAACUGUGCACAUCUUGACGGUACCUAAUCAGAAAGCCACGGCUAACUACGUGCCAGCAGCCGCGGUAAUACGUAGGUGGCAAGCGUUAUCCGGAAUUAUUGGGCGUAAAGCGCGCGUAGGCGGUUUUUUAAGUCUGAUGUGAAAGCCCACGGCUCAACCGUGGAGGGUCAUUGGAAACUGGAAAACUUGAGUGCAGAAGAGGAAAGUGGAAUUCCAUGUGUAGCGGUGAAAUGCGCAGAGAUGUGGAGGAACACCAGUGGCGAAGGCGACUUUCUGGUCUGUAACCGACGCUGAUGUGCGAAAGCGUGGGGAUCAAACAGGAUUAGAUACCCUGGUAGUCCACGCCGUAAACGAUGAGUGCUAAGUGUUAGGGGGUUUCCGCCCCUUAGUGCUGCAGCUAACGCAUUAAGCACUCCGCCUGGGGAGUACGACCGCAAGGUUGAAACUCAAAGGAAUUGACGGGGGCCCGCACAAGCGGUGGAGCAUGUGGUUUAAUUCGAAGCAACGCGAAGAACCUUACCAAAUCUUGACAUCCUUUGACAACUCUAGAGAUAGAGCCUUCCCCUUCGGGGGACAAAGUGACAGGUGGUGCAUGGUUGUCGUCAGCUCGUGUCGUGAGAUGUUGGGUUAAGUCCCGCAACGAGCGCAACCCUUAAGCUUAGUUGCCAUCAUUAAGUUGGGCACUCUAAGUUGACUGCCGGUGACAAACCGGAGGAAGGUGGGGAUGACGUCAAAUCAUCAUGCCCCUUAUGAUUUGGGCUACACACGUGCUACAAUGGACAAUACAAAGGGCAGCGAAACCGCGAGGUCAAGCAAAUCCCAUAAAGUUGUUCUCAGUUCGGAUUGUAGUCUGCAACUCGACUACAUGAAGCUGGAAUCGCUAGUAAUCGUAGAUCAGCAUGCUACGGUGAAUACGUUCCCGGGUCU